GAAACAACAAGAAAUGGCGAAUAUAUCUAUGUGGAUUUGUGCCAGUAAGAGUCCUAACUAAUUCAGUUGUCUCAAAUCUCUUAAUUUUUUCUUAAUUAUUCAUCUUCUUCUUUUAUUCAGAAAUAUACAAAUUAUCAUAGUUACAAGAGAUUCAUCUGUUCGUACCUUGAAGGUAAACUGAAUCUCACACGGUGUUUUGACAAUUAGGCUUAUAAAAGGACAUAGGUCCGGUGACAUGGUGCUCUCACUGAUCAGAAUUGUGCAAGAGACAAGGGCGGGUCAAGGUUUUACAUAUCAGAUUUUCUUCCUCCAUACACCUAUGCUUCAAAAGAGAAUGAUUCAAUGAUUAAUGACAAUAGAAGAGAAAUCGCUCGGAUUGUGCGCGAACAUGGCCAAGAGCUUGACGAUUAAUGAAGAACAAGAAGGCCUCUUUGAUCUUAGAAGGUUAACUAAAUGCAUCAAGAUAUUUUGGUUUACCUCUUCUAUUACUAUUUUACAAAGUGAAAAUAAAAUAGAAACUUGAGUUUAAAUAUAGACUUUUAGUAUGAAAAAUAUAUAAAUGGUUUGUUCAUGUUACUAAUUAUCCGUUCAUGUGUUAAUAAACUCAUUAUCUUCUAAAGAUAUUAGGUAAGGAGAGUUUAGUUGCUUCAUUUGCAUAAUCUUAUUACAAGAUUGAUAGCUAUAUUUCUGAAUAGCGUUUAAACAGGAAAGAAGAUCGAGAAUACUUAUAUUAUAUAACUUUUCUCUCCAUGAAAUA